rnacentral:rRNA from 1 species
ACUCAAAGGAAUUGACGGGGGCCCGCACAAGCGGUGGAGCAUGUGGUUUAAUUCGAUGCAACGCGAAGAACCUUACCUGCCCUUGACAUCCUGCGAACCCGGGAGAGACCCUGGGGUGCCGAAAGGAGCGCAGAGACAGGUGCUGCAUGGCUGUCGUCAGCUCGUGUUGUGAGAUGUUGGGUUAAGUCCCGUAACGAGCGCAACCCUUGCCCCUAGUUGCCAGCAUUUGGUUGGGGACUCUAGGGGGACUGCCGGUGAUGAACCGGAGGAAGGCGGGGACGACGUCAAGUCAUCAUGGCCUUUAUGGGCAGGGCCACACACGUGCUACAAUGGGGCGUACAGAGGGUCGCGAACCCGCGAGGGGGAGCCAAUCCCGCAAAGCGCCUCGUAGUCCGGAUUGGAGUCUGCAACCCGACUCCAUGAAGCUGGAAUCGCUAGUAAUCGCGGAUCAGCAUUGCCGCGGUGAAUACGUUCCCGGGCCUUGCACACACCGCCCGU